rnacentral:rRNA from 1 species
UACAGAGGGGGCAAGCGUUGUUCGGAAUUACUGGGCGUAAAGGCGCGUAGGUGGCCUUCUAAGUUGAACGUGAAAUCCCUGGGCUCAACCCAGGAACUGCGUCCAAGACUGGGAGGCUUGAAUCCGGGAGAGGGAUGCGGAAUUCCAGGUGUAGCGGUGAAAUGCGUAGAGAUCAUGAGGAAGACCAGUGGCGAAGGCGGGUCUCUGGACAGUUCCGUGACACUGAGGCACGAAGGCCAGGGGAGCAAACGGG